UUGGAGAGUUUGAUCCUGGCUCAGAUUGAACGCUGGCGGCAGGCCUAACACAUGCAAGUCGAGCGGCAGCAGCUCCUUCGGGAGGCUGGCGAGCGGCGGACGGGUGAGUAACGCAUGGGAACUUACCCAGUAGUGGGGGAUAGCCCGGGGAAACCCGGAUUAAUACCGCAUACGCCCUGAGGGGGAAAGCGGGCUCCGGCUCGCGCUAUUGGAUGGGCCCAUGUCGGAUUAGUUAGUUGGUGGGGUAAUGGCCUACCAAGGCGACGAUCCGUAGCUGGUCUGAGAGGAUGAUCAGCCACACCGGGACUGAGACACGGCCCGGACUCCUACGGGAGGCAGCAGUGGGGAAUAUUGGACAAUGGGGGCAACCCUGAUCCAGCCAUGCCGCGUGU
rnacentral:rRNA from 1 species